UGGGGAAUUUUGGACAAUGGGCGCAAGCCUGAUCCAGCCAUGCCGCGUGCGGGAAGAAGGCCUUCGGGUUGUAAACCGCUUUUGUCAGGGAAGAAAUCUUCUGAGUUAAUACCUCGGGAGGAUGACGGUACCUGAAGAAUAAGCACCGGCUAACUACGUGCCAGCAGCCGCGGUAAUACGUAGGGUGCAAGCGUUAAUCGGAAUUACUGGGCGUAAAGCGUGCGCAGGCGGUUUUGUAAGGCAGAGGUGAAAUCCCCGGGCUCAACCUGGGAACUGCCUUUGUGACUGCAAGGCUUGAGUGCGGCAGAGGGGGAUGGAAUUCCGCGUGUAGCAGUGAAAUGCGUAGAUAUGCGGAGGAACACCGAUGGCGAAGGCAAUCCCCUGGGCCUGCACUGACGCUCAUGCACGAAAGCGUGGGGAGCAAACAGGAUUAGAUACCCUGGUAGUCCACGCCCUAAACGAUGUCAACUGGUUGUUGGGAAGGUUCCUUCUCAGUACGUAGCUAACGCGUAAGUUGACCGCCUGGGGAGUCGGCCGCAAGGUU
rnacentral:rRNA from 1 species